rnacentral:rRNA from 1 species
UACGGAGGGUGCAAGCGUUGCUCGGAAUUACUGGGCGUAAAGCGCGUGUAGGCGGUUUCGUGUGUCUGAUGUGAAAUCCCCGGGCUCAACCCGGGAAGUGCAUUGGAAACUGCGAGACUAGAGUCCCGGAGAGGAAGGUGGAAUUCCAGGUGUAGCGGUGAAAUGCGUAGAUAUCUGGAAGAACACCGGUGGCGAAGGCAAUCCCCUGGACCUGUACUGACGCUCAUGCACGAAAGCGUGGGGAGCAAACAGG